CGAGGGCACGUCUGCCUGGG
rnacentral:siRNA from 1 species